AUUGGACCUCAAAUCAGGUAGGACUACCCGCUGAACCUAAGCAUAUCAAUAA
rnacentral:rRNA from 1 species